UACCAGCACCCCGAGUGGUCGGGACGAUUAUUGGGCCUAAAGCAUCCGUAGCCGGUUCUACAAGUCUUCCGUUAAAUCCACCUGCUUAACAGAUGGGCUGCGGAGGAUACUAUAGAGCUAGGAGGCGGGAGAGGCAAGCGGUACUUAGUGGGUAGGGGUAAAAUCCGUUGAUCCACUGAAGACCACCAGUGGCGAAGGCGGCUUGCCAGAACGCGCUCGACGGUGAGGGAUGAAAGCUGGGGGAGCAAACCGG
rnacentral:rRNA from 1 species